rnacentral:rRNA from 1 species
GGAUUAGGCAUGCAAGUCGAACGAGGAAGUGCCCCGUAACGUCAAGCUAGUGGCGAAAGGUGAGUAAUGCAUUGAUAACCUGCCUUUGAGAUGGGAAUAACUGCGUUUCGAGCAAUCGGAACUACCGAAAGGGCUGCUAAUACCCAAUAAUACUAUAGGUGCAAAAGCACUUGUGGUCAAAUGCUAGGAAUUCUGUUCCUUGUGCUUAAAGAGGGGUUAAUGUCCUAUCAGCUAGUUGGUGGGGUAAUGGCCUACCAAGGCAAAGACGGGUAGCCGGCUUGAGAGGGUGGUCGGCCACACUGGGACUGAGACACUGCCCAGACUCCUACGGGAGGCUGCAGUCGAGAAUCUUUCGCAAUGCCCAAUAGGUGACGAAGCGACGCCGCGUGUGGGAAGAAGGCCUUCGGGUUGUAAACACUGUCGGAGUUAGGAAAUGCAGGUGCGUUAAUAGCGCACUUGCUUGACUAAGGCUCCAGAGGAAGCCACGGCUAACUCUGUGCCAGCAUGCCGCGGUAAUACAGAGGCGGCAAGCGUUGUUCGGAAUUAUUGGCGUAAA